GAUGAACGCUGGCGGCGUGCCUAAUACAUGCAAGUCGAGCGAACGGACGAGAAGCUUGCUUCUCUGAUGUUAGCGGCGGACGGGUGAGUAACACGUGGAUAACCUACCUAUAAGACUGGGAUAACUUCGGGAAACCGGAGCUAAUACCGGAUAAUAUUUUGAACCGCAUGGUUCAAAAGUGAAAGACGGUCUUGCUGUCACUUAUAGAUGGAUCAGCGCUGCAUUAGCUAGUUGGUAAGGUAACGGCUUACCAAGGCAACGAUGCAUAGCCGACCUGAGAGGGUGAUCGGCCACACUGGAACUGAGGCACGGUCCAGACUCCUACGGGAGGCAGCAGUAGGGAAUCUUCCGCAAUGGGCGAAAGCCUGACGGAGCAACGCCGCGUGAGUGAUGAAGGUCUUCGGAUCGUAAAACUCUGUUAUUAGGGAAGAACAUAUGUGUAAGUAACUGUGCACAUCUUGACGGUACCUAAUCAGAAAGCCACGGCUAACUACGUG
rnacentral:rRNA from 1 species